UUUCUAGAGAUAGAAAGUUACUUCGGUACAUCGGUGACAGGUGGUGCAUGGUUGUCGUCAGCUCGUGUCGUGAGAUGUUGGGUUAAGUCCCGCAACGAGCGCAACCCCUAUUGUUAGUUUGCCAUCAUUCAGUUUGGGCACUCUAGCGAGACUGCCGGUAAUAACCGGAGGAAGUGGGAUGACGUCAAAUCAUCAUGCCCCUUAUGACCUGGGCUACACACGUGCUACAAUGGUUGGUACAACGAGUUGCGAGUCGGUGACGGCGAGCUAAUCUCUUAAAGCCAAUCUCAGUUCGGAUUGUAGGCUGCAACUCGCCUACAUGAAGUCGGAAUCGCUAGUAAUCGCGGAUCAGCACGCCGCGGUGAAUACGUUCCCGGGCCUU
rnacentral:rRNA from 1 species